rnacentral:rRNA from 1 species
GAUGAACGCUGGCGGCGUGCCUAAUACAUGCAAGUCGAGCGAACAGACGAGGAGCUUGCUCCUCUGACGCUAGCGGCGGACGGGUGAGUAACACGUGGAUAACCUACCUAUAAGACUGGGAUAACUUCGGGAAACCGGAGCUAAUACCGGAUAAUAUAUUGAACCGCAUGGUUCAAUAGUGAAAGACGGUUUUGCUGUCACUUAUAGAUGGAUCCGCGCCGCAUUAGCUAGUUGGUAAGGUAACGGCUUACCAAGGCGACGAUGCGUAGCCGACCUGAGAGGGUGAUCGGCCACACUGGAACUGAGACACGGUCCAGACUCCUACGGGAGGCAGCAGUAGGGAAUCUUCCGCAAUGGGCGAAAGCCUGACGGAGCAACGCCGCGUGAGUGAUGAAGGUCUUCGGAUCGUAAAACUCUGUUAUUAGGGAAGAACAAAUGUGUAAGUAACUAUGCACGUCUUGACGGUACCUAAUCAGAAAGCCACGGCUAACUACGUG